rnacentral:rRNA from 1 species
AUUGAACGCUGGCGGCAGGCCUAACACAUGCAAGUCGAACGAGCGGCGGACGGGUGAGUAAUGUCUGGGAAACUGCCUGAUGGCGGGGGGUAACUACUGGAGACGGUAGCUAAUACCGCAUACCAUCAGAUGUGCCCGGAUGGGAUUAUCUAGUAGGUGGGGUAACGGCGCACCUAGGCGACGAUCCAGAGCUGUUCUGCGAGGAGGACCAGCCACACUGGAACUGAGACACGGUCCAGACUCCUACGGGAGGCAGCAGUGGGGAAUAUUGCACAAUGGGCGCAAGCCUGAUACAGCCAUGCCGCGUGUGUGAAGAAGGCCUUCGGGUUGUAAAGCACUUUCAGCGGGGAGGCGUUACCCGCAGAAGAAGCACCGGCUAACUCCGUGCCAGCAGCCGCGGUAAUUC